rnacentral:rRNA from 1 species
CACGUAGGAGGCGAGCGUUGUCCGGAAUCAUUGGGCGUAAAGGGCGCGUAGGCGGCCUGUUAAGUCGAACGUGAAAUCCCCGGGCUCAACCCGGGAACUGCGUCCGAUACUGGCAGGCUUGAAUUCGGGAGAGGGAUGCGGAAUUCCAGGUGUAGCGGUGAAAUGCGUAGAUAUCUGGAGGAACACCGGUGGCGAAGGCGGCAUCCUGGACCGAGAUUGACGCUGAGGCGCGAAAGCCAGGGGAGCAAACGGG